rnacentral:lncRNA from 1 species
CCGCCGUCGCAGUCCUCGCCGCCUCAAACCGACGCCGUCCUCGCCGCCGCCCUCCGAGCUCGACGCCGUUCGAGCUCCCGCCGUCGGACUCCCUGCACUCGACGCCGCUUCUGCCGACGCCAGCAGCCGCAGCACCCUUCGCCGUUGCUCCCGACGCCGAGCUAACCGAGACCAAAGGGAGAGGGAGGACAAACUCAGAGCCACCGCGCCCGAGCGCUGCCUGACUCCGCCCGCGACGACCUGAUGCUUCCGCUCGCCUCCGACGUAGCCGCCGCCCAUCCUCGCAGACCCCGAUGUCGUCGUUGCCGUUCGCCGCGUAGCCGCCGCCACCUGCUGCGCUCAACGCCGCUCGAGCCGUCGCCGCCCUCCGUCCCGACGAGCUGCUUGCUGACCCUCACCGAACCGCCGCCUUCCUGCUGCUACUGCCGUCGUCCGCCACCCACCGCGUCUCCGCCGCCGAGUCGCUGACAUCUUGGCCAUCCCUCUCGGCGCCGCGAAGAAACCCUAGGGUUUCGGCCACGAACCGGGUCGUGCGAGCCGGGCCGGGUCCAGUCAACCGGGUAGGGUUUUUGGCGUAUUGGGCUGGGCAUACUUGGGUCGGGCUUGGUUUAUUUUUGCAUGUGGGCUUGUGGGCUUGUGGGCUGGUCUCAUGCAGGCUUAGGAAAUAGGUGGGCCUUUUUGACUUUCUUUGGGCCCUGGUUAAAAUAUCCCAAAAAAAAAGAAUUUUGGGCCCACUCGGGCCUGCUGUCGCCGAUCGGGCCGAACCCGGGUCCGGUCUCGGACCGGACCCGAUCCGAGCCACCGGGUCGGGU